rnacentral:lncRNA from 1 species
AGCUCUUCAGUUGUAGAGCAGCCCAGAACAGCAUUUUCAUGUCCAGAUAUUGUCCAGAUAUUACAAGAUCCUGCUUCCUCUUCAGAAUGCUCUGGUGUCACUAUUGGCAGAGACUACCAGCCUCCAGGGCAGCCUCACCCAGCCUUCAGGAACUUGUUUCUGAGCAUCCUGAUAGAACAAGAAGCCUUCUGUGUCCAAAAGAUGAUGCCCUUUCAGACUGCAUGUACACCCGGCUCUGUGGUCAGGAUCCUGAAGUCUGUAACAUCUGCUUGGUUACCAUAGCUGAAGAAGUGGUCAGCCACAUGGCCUCGGUCUCACCAAUGAACGGUGCUUCUGCAUUACCAGGCCCCCAGCUGGUCCCCAAGUGGUCAGCAUCGUGAGCAUUCCUGGCCCUCAGAGAUACUUGUGUGGCACUCUAGU